rnacentral:misc_RNA from 1 species
AAGUCGUAACAAGGUCUCCGUUGGUGAACCAGCGGAGGGAUCAUUCACAUGAUUACUUUUGAUAAACAAACUGUGAACUUUAUAUACUAUUCGUGUUUUUUUGUCAGUUUAACUUUCAUUAAACAUUGUCAUUCGUUGAACAUAAGAUAGUUGGCUUGAAAUUUAUUAUUCUUUCUCAGCUUUGAUUUGAUUGAAAAUUCAACACUUUCUCUCAAUCAACCAUAAACAUAGAAACAACUCUAUGCCCUGGAUAUCUUGGUUCUC